rnacentral:rRNA from 1 species
GAUGAACGCUGGCGGCGUGCCUAAUACAUGCAAGUCGAACGAAAAGACGAGGAGCUUGCCUGUCUGACGUUAGCGGCGGAGGGGUGAGUAACAUGUGGAGAACCCAGCUAUAAGACGGGGAAAACUUCCGGAAACCGGAGGUAAAUACGGAUAAACUUCUGAAGAGCAUGGUGGAAUACUUUAAGGCGGUUUUCCAUUCACUGAUAGCAGGUUCCGCUCCGCAUUAGCUAGUGGGUAGGGUAACGGCUUACCAAGGCCACAAUGCGUAGCCGACCUGAGAGGGUGAUCGGCCACACUGGAACUGAGACACGGUCCAGACUCCUACGGGAGGCAGCAGUAGGGAAUAUUGCACAAUGGGCGAAAGCCUGACGGAGCAACGCCGCGUGAAUGAUGAAGGUCUUCGGGUCGUAAAGCUCUGUUAGCGGGGAAGAACAAAUUUGUAAUUAUCCAUGCACUCCUUGACGGUACCUGAUCAAAAAGCCCCGGCUAACUCCGUG